UCCUAGGCCACUGUUUUUAGUUCUGCACAAAACCAAAACGUCAUUAGUCAUAAAUCUUUCAUUUGGCGGUAGUGGUCUAAAUGAUAGUUUGUUUAUAUCCAUUUUGUGUCUGUGAUCAUAGAAAUUCUAAAAGCAACAUACCACCGUUUAUACCAGACUAGUAAUUACCACGAGGCUGGUGCAUAACGACUAAGUUAAUAGGUUUUUAUGUACGUUCUUUGUAUAUAAAUAUAAAUAAUUUGUUGUUUCUAAA